rnacentral:rRNA from 1 species
AUUGAACGCUGGCGGCAUGCUUUACACAUGCAAGUCGGACGGCAGCACAGAGAAGCUUGCUUCUUGGGUGGCUAGUGGCGAACGGGUGAGUAAUAUAUCGGAACGUACCGAGUAAUGGGGGAUAACUAAUCGAAAGAUUAGCUAAUACCGCAUAUUCUCUGAGGAGGAAAGCAGGGGACCUUCGGGCCUUGCGUUAUUCGAGCGGCCGAUAUCUGAGUAGCUAGUUGGUGGGGUAAAGACCUACCAAGGCGACGCUCAGUAGCGGGUCCGAGAGGAUGAUCCGCCACACUGGGACUGAGACACGGCCCAGACUCCUACGGGAGGCAGCAGUGGGGAAUUUUGGACAAUGGGCGCAAGCCUGAUCCAGCCAUGCCGCGUGUAUGAAGAAGGCGUUCUGGUUGUAAAGGAAUUUUGUCAGGGAAGAAAAGGCUGUUGCUAAUACCGACAGCUGAUGACGGUACCUGAAGAAUAAGCACCGGCUAACUACGUG